AAAAAAAAUGACAUCUCUUCCGGUGGUGGAAGAGUUCCCAAAAAUUCCUGGCAGCAUUAAUAUAAGGAGAUGAUCUGCCACUACAGGAAAAAUGUGGCCAAUGAAAUUUUGCUGGCAUCAGUGUGAAGAGAGGAGUACUGCUCUGUGUGUGGAGAAAAAGAAAGAGCCCAAACAGAGGAGCAAUGCAUCUGGAUUCAAUGUGAAUUAUGCCAGAGGUAGUUUCAUGUUCAGUGCCUCAACAUUAAUCUGCUACCAGAAGAACAAGCAUGGAUUUGUGAUGUGUGUUUGAAAGCUAUUUAGUUAGAGGAGCUGAUGCUGAAAGUGUGUUUAAAUUGUAAGAAAAUUGUUUUGCACUGAUAAGGGACAACGCAAACUAUGAAAACAUAUUUUAUUACAUAAACAGUUAAUACAUAGAAAAUACUUAAAUUUUCGAUUCAUCAAAAUAUCCACCAUUAGCAGCUGAAAACCUGGGCCAAGUUUAAACCAGUAACCAGGCAUCACAGCUGGCAAAGGGGCAUGUCUGACUUUGACAUGUAUAUAUUGCCAUUAUUAUGUAAUCAAAAUGAAAAUUAUUAUUGCUGGUCUUCAAUGAUAAUGUCAAGUUACUUUAAUGUACAGUAUUUGCACCAACAAAAAAUUAUAAGGAUUUAUUCUGAUGUCAUCCAAUGGGUUGGUUAGGCUGCAUUAAUUAGAUCAACUGGAACCGGGAACACUCCCCAUAACACACGAUGUACUCGUUACAUCGUAAGUUGAAUGGCAUCUACGCUAAUAUUUGUCUGUUUCUUUCUUAUUCUGUUUCUCAGUCCGUAUCCGAUCAGAUGGUGGAACAGCACCAAGAGAUGAUGUCUACAGCCCUGAUCGUCAGCGGAGACCAGCACACCCAGAUGACCCCCAGAGAUAUAUCCCCAGAUAUAUCAACCAAAAAUAACAAAAUAACUAAAAUAUAAUAAAAUACCUAACUACAUAAUACUACUAUUGUUAGAAAUUGCAACAAAAUUAAAAUAGAAAUAGAAACUUUUGAACUGCGGGUUUCGUCUGGUCAGAGGAGAACU